rnacentral:tRNA from 1 species
CGGAUGUAGUUCAAUGGUAGAAUCCCAGCCUUCCAAGCUGGUCGUGCGGGUUCGAUUCCCGUCAUCCG